AUUGAACGCUGGCGGCAUGCUUUACACAUGCAAGUCGAACGGCAGCGCGGGCUUCGGCCUGGCGGCGAGUGGCGAACGGGUGAGUAAUGCAUCGGAACGUGCCCAGUAGUGGGGGAUAGCGCGGCGAAAGCCGGGUUAAUACCGCAUACGACCUGAGGGUGAAAGUGGGGGACCGUAAGGCCUCGCGCUAUUGGAGCGGCCGAUGUCGGAUUAGCUAGUUGGUGGGGUAAAGGCUUACCAAGGCGACGAUCCGUAGCUGGUCUGAGAGGACGACCAGCCACACUGGGACUGAGACACGGCCCAGACUCCUACGGGAGGCAGCAGUGGGGAAUGUUGGACAAUGGGGGCAACCCUGAUCCAGCCAUGCCGCGUGCGGGAAGAAGGCCUUCGGGUUGUAAACCGCUUUUGUUCGGGAAGAAAGCCACUAGGCUAAUACCCCGGGGUGAUGACGGUACCGGAAGAAUAAGCACCGGCUAACUACGUG
rnacentral:rRNA from 1 species